rnacentral:rRNA from 1 species
UGAACCUGCGGAGGGAUCAUUACCGAGUUUACAACUCCCAAACCCCUGUGAACAUACCUAUACGUUGCCUCGGCGGAUCAGCCCGCGCCCCGUUAAAACGGGACGGCCCGCCCGAGGACCCUAAACUCUGUUUUUAGUGGAACUUCUGAGAUAAAACAAACAAAUAAAUCAAAACUUUCAACAACGGAUCUCUUGGUUCUGGCAUCGAUGAAGAACGCAGCAAAAUGCGAUAAGUAAUGUGAAUUGCAGAAUUCAGUGAAUCAUCGAAUCUUUGAACGCACAUUGCGCCCGCCAGUAUUCUGGCGGGCAUGCCUGUUCGAGCGUCAUUUCAACCCUCAAGCUCAGCUUGGUGUUGGGACUCGCGGUAACCCGCGUUCCCCAAAUCGAUUGGCGGUCACGUCGAGCUUCCAUAGCGUAGUAAUCAUACACCUCGUUACUGGUAAUCGUCGCGGCCACGCCGUAAAACCCCAACUUCUGAAUGUUGACCUCGGAUCAGGUAGGAAUACCCGCUGAACUUAAGCAUAUCAAUA